rnacentral:rRNA from 1 species
UACGUAGGGUGCAAGCGUUGUCCGGAAUUACUGGGCGUAAAGAGUUCGUAGGCGGUUUGUCGCGUUGUUCGUGAAAUCUCACGGCUUAACUGUGAGCGUGCGGGCGAUACGGGCAGACUAGAGUACUGCAGGGGAGACUGGAAUUCCUGGUGUAGCGGUGGAAUGCGCAGAUAUCAGGAGGAACACCGGUGGCGAAGGCGGGUCUCUGGGCCGAUACUGACGCUGAGGAGCGAAAGCGUGGGGAGCGAACAGG